UUUUUUCAGGCGGUGGAAACUGAGGCCCAAAGUAAGUGAGGCUAGGGGCCUGGCGCAGUGACUCAUUCGUAGUGACUCAUUCUUGUAAUCCUAGCACUUUGGCAGGCAGAGGCGGGUGGACUGCCUGAGGUCAGGAGUUCGAGACCAACCUAGGCAACACGGUGAAAUCCCGUCUCUACUAAAAUACAAAAAAUUAGGUCGGACGCGGUGGCUCCCGCCUGUAAUCCCAGCACUUUAGUAGGCCGAGGUAGGGCGGAUCACCUGAGGUCAGCAGUUCAAGACCAGCCUGGCCAACAUGGUGAAACUGUGUCUCUACUAAAAACACAAAAAUUAGCCGGGUGUGGUGACGGGUGCCCGUAAUCCCAGCUACUCAGGAGGCUGAGGCAGGAGAAUCGCUUGAACCCAGGAGGCGGAGGUUGCAGUGAGCCAAGAUCGUGCCACCGCACUGCAGCCUGGGCGACAGAGUGAGACGCCAUCUCCAAACAAACAAACAAAAAAAUUAGGUUAGGGCCAUCCUGCUCUGGGUAGGGCCGAGAGCUGUAGCACAAGUCUGUGCUGCCCUGCGCUGUGCCACCGAAACCCGUGGUGUGAGUGGCUAAAGAACCCUUUCUGAAAGGAAUUGUGAUACCUUGGUUAUAAAAAAAUCGUUGGGAUAAUAUCAGAGAUUUGGUACCCCCCGAAUUUGAGGUAUGUGAGGAAGGAGAACUUCGUUGUUUUAAAAUGAAAUAUAGGCCUGGCGUGGUGGCUCAUGCCUAUAAUCCCAGCGCUUUGGGAGGCUGAAGUGAGAGGAUCACUGGAGCCCAAGAGUUCCAGACCAGCCUGGGCAACAUAGGGAGACCCCGUCUAUACAAAAAAUAAAUAAAGCUGGGUGUGAUGGCGUGGGCCUGUAGUCCCAGCUACUUGGGAGGCCGAUUGCUUCAGCCCAGAAGGUAGAGGCUGUGGUAAGCUAUGAUUGCCACCACUGAACUCCAGCCUGGGUGACAGAGUGAAACCCUGUCUCUAAAAAAAUAAAAGAAAACAUAUAUAUUUAUUAUGUACUGAUAAUACAUAACAAAGGUGAACCCUCCCCUAAUGAAACUGUAUUCACAAGUGAACACACAGAGAUUUGCACACACAUACACAAAGACUGGUUGUGCAGCUUUUCUCCUCCUGAGCCAGGACUUGUCAAAGACAAGCAAAAGGAAGUUGUUAGAGUAAAAAAUAAGAGAAAGCUAGUAUUUUUAAAAACUCCUUACUGUGGAAAAUGUCAAACAGAAGAGCAGAAUGAAUUUCCAGAACUUCAUAAAUUGUCAACACUUUUCAGUCUUGUUUCAUCUAUCCCCUACCACCAUCUUCCAGACCUUAUUUUCUUUGCUAGAAUAUUUUAAAGCAAUGGGUAUUACAUUUAAAGUUUGACUUGUUUAACCUGGACUACUUUUAGGUAAGGAAAAUUCAGUAUUUCUUAGAAAACCCUUUCCCCAACCAAAAAACAAAGAACAAGAAAAAAAUUGAUAGGCUUGGCUCUAUGAACCUGGAGUAUCAAAGAAAAAGGGGUUUAGUUUUGUUUUUUGGGCUAAAAUACAGUCCGACGGAGAGUAUUGUCAUUUUUAUACAAAAACAGGGACAAAAGAAAAGGCAACAGUGCAAAUACUCCAUCUUCCAGGAAGGGAGGCUGGGAUGCCUCAGUGUUAAAAUGACAAAAGAAAACCCCAGAGCAAGAACCAUGAUCCCUCAGAGGAGUCCCAGAAAUGUCCAAGACAGCCUGGCUGGGAGAGGGGGUGUGGGAAGGGCAGGCCCCCAAGAGAGGUCCCCACAUCCUCUGGCUAGAGGCUAGGCCCAGGACCCACCAAUGCCAGCAGCCCUCACCUCCCUUUGGGGUGAGAGCAGGUGCUGAGGUCAGGCUGGUUUUUGUUUCCCACUGCUUGUUCGUGAUUUGUUCUUGGAUACCUGGAAAGGGGCCAGUUGAGGCCUCAGGGGUUGAGGCCCCUCUGGAAAUGUGGUUCCUGGGAAUGGGCCUGGACAUAGAAGCCACUGGAUGUCUCUUCCCUGAACAGUAAUUUUGUUCAUCAGUAAUCCUGUAACUUCCCAAGGAAAACAAAGAACAGGCUAGUCUUCCCCACCCCAGCCAAAAAAGAGAAGGGGGUUUCUUCAUCUGCAAGAUUUGGGAAUCCUAGAGUUACUUAUUUAUAUAGAGACAGGGUUUUGCUCUUUUGCCCGAGCUGGGGUGCAGUGGUGGGAAUAUGACUCACACUAGCCUUGACCUCCCGGGUUCAAGUAAUCCUCCUGCCUCAGCCUCCCAAAGUGCUUGGGAUUACAAGCAUGAACCACCACACCUGACCUAUUUUUCUUUUCGUAAGCCUCCCUUUCAAGAAGGAAAAUGGGUUAGCCCUUCCUAACAGAUCAUCACUACAAAUAACAGGUUGCUGAUGUAUUGGAGACUCUGCCUAUAUUUACUCUUGCCCUCAUUUUCUUAAUAGCAGCAGUCAUCAUCUAUAACAUAAAAAUCUGAAUGGAUUGGAAACCUAAAUAGACAGAAAUCCUGUACUUUAUAAUCAGGAGUAUAAAUAAUAAGAGGCAGCCUGGGCAACCUGGCGACAUCCCGUAUCUACUAAAAAUACAAAAAAUUAGCUGGGCGUGGUGACACCUGCCUGUAGUCCCAAAAGGUCACACGCUCUCUCACAGCACAAACUGACCCUAAAACCGGAGCCCACAAGGUUGAGGCUUCAGUGAGCUGAGACCGCACCACUGCACUCCAGCACUCCAAAGUAGCACCUGCCAUCCUCAUGACAGAGUGAGACCCUGUCUCAAAAGUAAAUAAAUAAAUAAAAUUAAAUUAUAAGAGGCCAUUGGUUUGGACUGAGCUCUUCUACUAUGCCCAAAAGACCAAACCAAAAUGCAGUUACUCACCUUCCACAAGACCAAGCUGAAACUAAGUUUAUUUGACCUUCUGAGUAAUCAGGAGAGACAGAUAAUGGCCAAAUCCUCAAACAGACUGGUGUUAGCUGGCAGGAUAAGGAAGGCCCCUUUGCUUUGACCUUUAUAGGGAAAAUACCUGAAACAACCAAUCUGCUUUGUAUUCUCUGUUUCUACUUUCCUUGGCCCUUUUCUAUCUACAAACCCAACCUCCUUUGCUCAGCUCAUCAAAACACUCACUCUAUAGAAUGAGAUGUUGCCCGAUUCUAG
rnacentral:lncRNA from 1 species